GAUGAACGCUGGCGGCGUGCCUAAUACAUGCAAGUCGAGCGAAUGGAUUGAGAGCUUGCUCUUAUGAAGUUAGCGGCGGAUGGGUGAGUAACACGUGGGUAACCUGCCCAUAAGACUGGGAUAACUCCGGGAAACCGGGGCUAAUACCGGAUAACAUUUUGAACCGCAUGGUUCGAAAUUGAAAGGCGGCUUCGGCUGUCACUUAUGGAUGGACCCGCGUCGCAUUAGCUAGUUGGUGAGGUAACGGCUCACCAAGGCAACGAUGCGUAGCCGACCUGGGAGGGUGAUCGGCCACGCUGGGACUGAGACACGGCCCAGACUCCUACGGGAGGCAGCAGUAGGGAAUCUUCCGCAAUGGACGAAAGUCUGACGGAGCAACGCCGCGUGAGUGAUGAAGGCUUUCGGGUCGUAAAACUCUGUUGUUAGGGAAGAACAAGUGCUAGUUGAAUAAGCUGGCACCUUGACGGUACCUAACCAGAAAGCCACGGCUAACUACGUGCCAGCCGCCGCAGUAA
rnacentral:rRNA from 1 species